rnacentral:rRNA from 1 species
AGUGAACGCUGGCGGUAGGCCUAACACAUGCAAGUCGAACGGCAGCACAGUAAGAGCUUGCUCUUACGGGUGGCGAGUGGCGGACGGGUGAGGAAUACAUCGGAAUCUACUUUUUCGUGGGGGAUAACGUAGGGAAACUUACGCUAAUACCGCAUACGACCUACGGGUGAAAGCAGGGGAUCUUCGGACCUUGCGCGAUUGAAUGAGCCGAUGUCGGAUUAGCUAGUUGGCGGGGUAAAGGCCCACCAAGGCGACGAUCCGUAGCUGGUCUGAGAGGAUGAUCAGCCACACUGGAACUGAGACACGGUCCAGACUCCUACGGGAGGCAGCAGUGGGGAAUAUUGGACAAUGGGCGCAAGCCUGAUCCAGCCAUACCGCGUGGGUGAAGAAGGCCUUCGGGUUGUAAAGCCCUUUUGUUGGGAAAGAAAAGCAGAAGGUUAAUACCCCGCUGUUCUGACGGUACCCAAAGAAUAAGCACCGGCUAACUUCGU